rnacentral:rRNA from 1 species
GACGAACGCUGGCGGCGUGCUUAACACAUGCAAGUCGAACGGUGAAGCGCUUGCCUUUUUGGUGGGUGUGGAUGAGUGGCGAACGGGUGAGUAACACGUGAGUAACCUGCCCUCUUCUUCUGGAUAACCUCAUGAAAGUGGGGCUAAUACGGGGUAUUCCGGGUCUGUCGCAUGGCGGGUUUGGGAAAGAUUGCGCCUUUGGGUGUUUUCGGUGGGGGAUGGGCUCGCGGCCUAUCAGCUUGUUGGUGGGGCGAUGGCCUACCAAGGCGGUGACGGGUAGCCGGCCUGAGAGGGUGGACGGCCACACUGGGACUGAGACACGGCCCAGACUCCUGCGGGAGGCAGCAGUGGGGAAUAUUGCACAAUGGGCGCAAGCCUGAUGCAGCGACGCCGCGUGAGGGAUGGAGGCCUUCGGGUUGUGAACCUCUUUCGCCAGUGAAGCAGGCCUGCUCCUGUGUGGGUGGGUUGACGGUAGCUGGAUAAGAAGCGCCGGCUAACUACGUG